UUUCCCCAUUUGUUUGAUCAAGCCCCAGACUGGCGAGUGCUGCCGCAAGGUACAUUGCCAAUCAUUGUCAAUUGAUUAAAAUUUAAGGUGCGUUUGGGGUUGAGAUUGAGCAGUUAUAAUUUAAAAUAUACAACAUUAAAGUAUUUGUUAAAUACUAACUGUUAUAGUGUAGAAAUUGUGUUGAUGAAGAAAAAUAUAUUAUAUCUUUAAUAAUUUUAUCAAGAUUAUUAUUUAAAAAUUAUAUUUACUAUAUUUUUAAUAAUUAGGUCUCUAAAUUUAUAGUUGUAACUUAAAAGUUAUAAAACCUUAAUCCUAAAGAAGCUCUUAGUAAAUGAACAAAGCUUCACCAUGUGCCACAAGCAAGAUCCACAAACAAUUUGAAAAAUAUUAUUAUUUUGUCUGUUUUUCAUUUGUUCUCAAAUUAACUAAUUAUUAUUUAUUAACUUUGAGAGACAGUGUUAUUUUUUUUAAUUGUUUGAAUAAUGGUAGAAAAUUAAUGAAUGAAAUACACCACUCACUUGUUUCCUUCUCUAAUUUAUUGCUCACACAAUUUAAUAUUCGUUGUUUUAAAUAAUAGAAGAUUAAUUUGAUCCGUUUUACCUGAGUUACUUGAUCAUGAUCGGGGACCCGUUUGAUAGCAAUGAUAAAAAUUAUACUUUAUUUGUGAAAAAUAAAAAAAUUUAGGAACCUAAUAUUAUUGUUACUUGGCUUCAAUUUUGACGUGCGAAGGGCAAAACUGCAGGAUAAACUCAGGUACAUCAGGGGAAGGUGAAGGUGCGGAUUACCACACGAGGAGUGUCGUGCAUACGAUAACAAAGCGUGGUUGGCCGAGCUGUUGUCGCUCGUCUGUCGAUGGCGUUGCACGUUUCUUCUGAGCAAUUCCCACGCUCUUCCAGUCACAGGCUCCGGUCACAUGGAGUCAAGACUAUUUCCUAAUGGGACCACUUUGGUCAUCAGAUUGAUUGAUUUGACGUCGGUGCUCCUUAGUGUGGUUCUUUAAGCCAAACAAUCAAUCUUUGCUAACCAACGAAAUUGAUGCGGUUUAAGGUCUAAAUUGGCCGUCACAAAGAGAAAUUAGGAUUUUCUUGUGUGUACUUAAAGGUAGAUUUAGGCUAUUAUAUACUAGAACUCUGUUAGUAGGAGCUUUGGCAGAUUUUUCAUUUGUGAUGCGAGUAAAUUUAAUACUAGAUUUGAAAAAAAAAAAAAAAAAGAAUUUGAUUUAAUUUGGUGGUUAGAAAACAAAAUCAAAGUAACAUUUUAAUUUCCA
rnacentral:lncRNA from 1 species